rnacentral:rRNA from 1 species
AGAGGUGCUUGCACCUUUCAAGCGAGUGGCGAACGGGUGAGUAACACGUGGAUAACCUGCCUCAAGGCUGGGGAUAACAUUUGGAAACAGAUGCUAAUACCGAAUAAAACUUAGUAUCGCAUGAUAUCAAGUUAAAAGGCGCUACGGCGUCACCUAGAGAUGGAUCCGCGGUGCAUUAGUUAGUUGGUGGGGUAAAGGCUUACCAAGACGAUGAUGCAUAGCCGAGUUGAGAGACUGAUCGGCCACAUUGGGACUGAGACACGGCCCAAACUCCUACGGGAGGCUGCAGUAGGGAAUCUUCCACAAUGGGCGCAAGCCUGAUGGAGCAACGCCGCGUGUGUGAUGAAGGCUUUCGGGUCGUAAAGCACUGUUGUAUGGGAAGAAAUGCUAAAAUAGGGAAUGAUUUUAGUUUGACGGUACCAUACCAGAAAGGGACGGCUAAAUACGUGCCAGCAGCCGCGGUAAUACGUAUGUCCCGAGCGUUAUCCGGAUUUAUUGGGCGUAAAGCGAGCGCAGACGGUUGAUUAAGUCUGAUGUGAAAGCCCGGAGCUCAACUCCGGAAUGGCAUUGGAAACUGGUUAACUUGAGUGUUGUAGAGGUAAGUGGAACUCCAUGUGUAGCGGUGGAAUGCGUAGAUAUAUGGAAGAACACCAGUGGCGAAGGCGGCUUACUGGACAACAACUGACGUUGAGGCUCGAAAGUGUGGGUAGCAAACAGGAUUAGAUACCCUGGUAGUCCACACCGUAAACGAUGAAUACUAGGUGUUAGGAGGUUUCCGCCUCUUAGUGCCGAAGCUAACGCAUUAAGUAUUCCGCCUGGGGAGUACGACCGCAAGGUUGAAACUCAAAGGAAUUGACGGGGACCCGCACAAGCGGUGGAGCAUGUGGUUUAAUUCGAAGCAACGCGAAGAACCUUACCAGGUCUUGACAUCCUUUGAAGCUUUUAGAGAUAGAAGUGUUCUCUUCGGAGACAAAGUGACAGGUGGUGCAUGGUCGUCGUCAGCUCGUGUCGUGAGAUGUUGGGUUAAGUCCCGCAACGAGCGCAACCCUUAUUGUUAGUUGCCAGCAUUCAGUUGGGCACUCUAGCGAGACUGCCGGUGACAAACCGGAGGAAGGCGGGGACGACGUCAGAUCAUCAUGCCCCUUAUGACCUGGGCUACACACGUGCUACAAUGGCGUAUACAACGAGUUGCCAACCUGCGAAGGUGAGCUAAUCUCUUAAAGUACGUCUCAGUUCGGACUGCAGUCUGCAACUCGACUGCACGAAGUCGGAAUCGCUAGUAAUCGCGGAUCAGCACGCCGCGGUGAAUACGUUCCCGGGUCUUGUACACACCGCCCGUCACACCAUGGGAGUUUGUAAUGCCCAAAGCCGGUGGCCUAACCUUCGGGAGGGAGCCGUCUAAG